rnacentral:rRNA from 1 species
CCUACGGGAGGCUGCAGUGAGGAAUAUUGGUCAAUGGCCGGAAGGCUGAACCAGCCAUGCCGCGUGCAGGUCAGUGCCCUAUGGGCGUUAAACUUCUUUUGUGCGGGAGCAAUAAUGGUCACGUGUGGCCAGACGAGAGUACCGUACGAAUAAGCAUCGGCUACAUCUGUGCCAGCAGCCGCGGUAAUACGGGGGAUGCAAGCGUUAUCCGGAUUUAUUGGGUUUAAAGGGUGCGUAGGCUGUGAGGUAAGUCAGCGGUGAAAUGCCCCCGCUCAACGGGGUGAAGUGCCAUUGAUACUGCCGUGCUGGAAUGCGGAUGCCGUGGGCGGAAUGUGUGGUGUAGCGGUGAAAUGCAUAGAUAUCACACAGAACACCGAUUGCGAAGGCAUGUCACGAAUCCGCGAUUGACGCUGAUGCACGAAAGCGUGGGUAUCAAACAGGAUUAGAUACCCGAGUAGUC